AUUGAACGCUGGCGGCAGGCCUAACACAUGCAAGUCGAGCGGAUGAAGGGAGCUUGCUCCUGGAUUCAGCGGCGGACGGGUGAGUAAUGCCUAGGAAUCUGCCUGGUAGUGGGGGAUAACGUCCGGAAACGGGCGCUAAUACCGCAUACGUCCUGAGGGAGAAAGUGGGGGAUCUUCGGACCUCACGCUAUUAGAUGAGCCUAGGUCGGAUUAGCUAGUUGGUGGGGUAAAGGCCUACCAAGGCGACGAUCCGUAACUGGUCUGAGAGGAUGAUCAGUCACACUGGAACUGAGACACGGUCCAGACUCCUACGGGAGGCAGCAGUGGGGAAUAUUGGACAAUGGGCGAAAGCCUGAUCCAGCCAUGCCGCGUGUGUGAAGAAGGUCUUCGGAUUGUAAAGCACUUUAAGUUGGGAGGAAGGGCAGUAAGUUAAUACCUUGCUGUUUUGACGUUACCAACAGAGUAAGCACCGGCUAACUUCGUG
rnacentral:rRNA from 1 species